AAAAAAAGGCUAUAUGGAUGCUCUGAAAGCUGUAGCUUCCCCCAGCAACCCCAAGCCGUUGCAGUAGUGGCGUGGUGGGGUUCAUCGGCGAACAUCCCCCAACGGCGCUCAUGCCAUGUUCAACCCCGUCUCCGGCGAUUGGCUCCUCGCCCACCUCAGCCGCGUGGUCCUCGACGACGACGCCCUCGCGCUCCUGCUCCUCCGCCUCGACAAGACUCUCUCCAGCCUCUCACUCCACCUCCUCGCACACUCCUGCAGCAAAUGAAAAAUUAUCAUGCGUCAACAACAUGCCAGAAAGAUCGAGGCUGUCCAUAUGUGUGAGGGCAUGCAGUUGCCACUUUGAGGUGGCAGUUUUCUGCUAUAAAUUGCAGCUGAAGCAUGGAAUGUCUUACCAGUGGAUGGUAACGUUGUGAGGUGAAUGAUUGACGACCUUGACAAGAACGUCAUCGCCUUCUCUUGCAUAGAGGGUCGGCCCCGGGAACUUGCCGUUAACAGUGAGGAUGGACUUGGUUGAGCAAAGCAGUGUCAUGUUCCUCAUAACCACCUGCACGAGUGAAACCAUGGUAAAUCAUCACGGCAGCCUGAGUUCUGUAGCCGCCUCACGGUGUAAGGGUGAGCCGUUUUGUCUUUUUUAUUGCCUCCUGGGGCAGGCUGGUUAUUGUUAUAUUGCACCAGAAAGGAAAAUGACAUUUUGAAACUAUGGCAAAGAAAGCAUUGUACUCCAUGUCGGGUUGUGUAAAGAGUGGUGCAAUGCUAUACGACCCUGGCUACAUGCAGAAAAGAGCCAUUAGCUAUCUA